rnacentral:rRNA from 1 species
UACGGAGGGUGCAAGCGUUAAUCGGAAUUACUGGGCGUAAAGCGCGCGUAGGUGGUUUGAUAAGCGAGAUGUGAAAGCCCCGGGCUUAACCCUGGGAACGGCAUUUCGAACUGUCAGGCUAGAGUAUGGUAGAGGGUAGUGGAAGUUUCCUGGUGUAGCGGUGAAAUGCGUAGAUAUAGGAAGGAACACCAGUGGCGAAGGCGGCUACCUGGACCAAUACUGACACUGAGGUGCGAAAGCGUGGGGAGCAAACAGGAUUAGAUACCCGUAGUCC